UACAGAGGGGGCAAGCGUUGUUCGGAAUUACUGGGCGUAAAGGGCGCGUAGGCGGCCCGCUAAGUCGAACGUGAAAUCCCCGGGCUUAACCCGGGAACUGCGUCCGAUACUGGCAGGCUUGAAUCCGGGAGAGGGAUGUGGAAUUCCAGGUGUAGCGGUGAAAUGCGUAGAUAUCUGGAGGAACACCGGUGGCGAAGGCGGCAUCCUGGACCGGUAUUGACGCUGAGGCGCGAAAGCGUGGGGAGCGAACAGG
rnacentral:rRNA from 1 species